rnacentral:tRNA from 2 species
GGGGUCGUGGGGUAGCCUGGUCUAUCCUGCGAGCUUUGGGAGCUCGUGACCCGAGUUCAAAUCUCGGCGACCCCACCA